rnacentral:rRNA from 1 species
UACGUAGGGUGCAAGCGUUGUCCGGAAUUAUUGGGCGUAAAGAGCUCGUAGGCGGUUUGUCGCGUCGAAUGUGAAAACCCGAGGCUCAACCUCGGGUCUGCAGUCGAUACGGGCAGGCUAGAGUUCGGUAGGGGAGACGUGGGAAUUCCGGGUGUAGCGGUGGAAUGACGUAGAGAGUCCGGAGGAAGACCGGUGGCGAAGGCGGUCUGCUGGGCAGUUCUGACACUGAGGCGCGACAGCGUGGGAGCAACA